UACCAUUUGUCCAUUUGUCAAUAUAUUUUAAAUUUCAAUCAAUAAAUGUAUUGGAUAAAUAGAUUCCAAGUUUAAUUGACAAUAUUAAAGUUUAAUCAAUAAACGCUUUAUUAUGACAUCUAUAGCACAUAACUGUACUUUUAAAACAAGAGCAGUCUGUUUUUCUCCUCAUCUUGUUUUCGUUUAGUAAAAUAAAAUAUGUUUGCUAUUGUUGCUUCUCUCUCUGGUUCAAAUCUGACUCUGACCAAACAGGAAGUGUGUGAAGAUAAAUAAAAGCUGGAGUUUGUGUGUUUGUUUGAGCAGGAUGUUUCUGUUUGUUUAGAUUUCUUAUGCUGGUUUUACACAGUUAAUUACUUCCUGUUUGAGAACAUAAUUUCCCACAGAGACAAACUCAUUAAACCUGAGAAAGACACCUUCAUCUUCAUCAUCCUCUUUACCAUACCCAACAGUCUACAACAGAAUAAAACAAUACAUUUCCCCUGAAUAUCUCUCACAGCUCACAGGUCAUCUUUUAUUCAUCUCUCUGCCUUUGUUGUCCUCUCAACUGUCUCCACUUCUCAUCAGCCUGCAGUCACUAGAGGUCUGCACUAUGAACAAGGAUCAACAUAUUCUGGAUAACUUUCUUUAAUCUAGUUUAAAGGGGACAUAUUAUGCAAAAUGCACUUUUCCAUGGUUUUCUAUCAGUAGUAUGUGUCCCUGGCGUGUCUACGAACCCCCCAAACAUGAGAAAAGUCCAUCCUCUCCGUCUUUUGCUUGCUCCACCUUUCAGGAGAUGUGUGCUCAAACGGGCGAAUUGGAGAUUUUCCCCUGAUGUCGUCAAGAAGGGCGAUGCCCCUCCCCUCGGGUGGGUGACACUCCCCGAGCUAGGUGUGUGUUCCGCCCUCUGAGUCCGGCUUGCAGACGGUAUCGUUACUUCCCUCGCGAACACUGGCUUUCGGUAGAACAAUGUCGAAGGUACAAGCGAAACACAGAAGUUGCUUUGUUGUUGGCUGCACAAACCAACACAGAAGUCUUUUUUUAAUCCCUACGCCCGAGGAUCUGAAGACCCAGUGGAUUAAUUUUAUUUUUGAUGGAAAUGUUCCCGCUCCAACUCCGAAAGUGUUGUACGUGUGUGCUAACCAUUUCACCUCGGACCGCUUUCUCAACGAGGGCCAGGACAACGCAGGAUUUCCUACAAGUCUCAAGAUAAAGCUUGGAUCAGCACCGACUGUCCGUGACCCAACUUUGAACUUGGGAGCUGCCAUCUAUACAUCUUCCUGCAACAAGGGAUGUUGCAUGCCAGACUGACCCACUGUAGGCACACAGUUAUCCUUGAAGACUCUUCAGCCUCACAUCAGAAGUACAGACUCUACCUGGCUGCCAUGUCCUACAAUGAAAAUGCUGACUGACCACAAGCCCAAACAAAAGAAGGGAAUGUGGUGGAAUUUGAAAAAGUCUUUGUUGACCCGGGACCAUACACAGAAGCUGCUUUGGCCAUCCCCAUCCCAGAGGACCUCACUGCACAGUUGGAGCGGCCUGAGAAGGAGGAGGUCAUAUCCAGCUAUGUGUCCCGUAUGUGGGUAAAACCCACAUACCGGCCUGUGGCGUCAGGAAACAUGGAUGCGUAGGGCCGGGCAGGCUGGAAUGACGACCCAGAUUCUGCGACCAAGGAAGCCCCAGCACCAGCUCACAAUGCUCCUAUAGGCUAGAUACCUGUACCGACUAAAACAACUGGACAGGACAUUUAGUCUUGCAAACAUAUAUCUAUGAUGUGUCUCACUAUUUUUUUUAUGGGUCCAGUGAAUCCUACAAUUUUUUUAUUAUCACUGAUUAUA